rnacentral:lncRNA from 10 species
CUAAAGCUAGAAGGGAAGCUUGAGGCCACAUUGUGGAGUGCCAAGAGGUUUGAACUUUUGCCUGGUUUGAACUUUUACCUUCUUAAUCUUUUCCCCGCAUCCCCACAUUUGAGGACAGGACACCUCCAGGAACUGCAGCUCAGCAACAGGGGUUCAGCGUGAGCGCGGCCUGGGGAGGGUCAUCGCCUUUUUGGGGAGUGUGGGGAGAAACGCGGCUCGCCUUGUCGUGGCUGGCGAUACGCCUCUGCAGGAAGGGUGUGUCUCCCCGCUUGAGGAUUCUCCCUAUAGAUAAAGAGGAGACUCAGCAGAGCCUUAAUUAGAGAUCACAGAGGACUGACAACGAGCGUCCGGAAGACGAAUUGGCAGCGAGGUGCAUGGAUUCGAUACAGAAGCUGGAGAUAGAGUCCAGCUAACAGACCACUGCAGUUCGACGGAGCCAGGUCCCAGGUCUGAAAUGGAAAGAGAUGUUACCCUAGAUGCCCGGAGACAGCGGGGCCGCAGAGACCUCGCACAGCCGAAUAGCAGUGGAGCAGGUGUGUGUGUGUGCAUGUGCAUGUGUGCACGCUGUGAGGGUGUGGUGUGUGUAACAUGCUCCCAUGUGUCCGUGUGCCCGCUCUGCAGGGGGAAUGUUAAUGUUUGAUUGUUGUUUGGCUUCAGCCCAAAAGAGAAACAAAUAAUGAGGUGAACGGAAAUGAGCUGGAGUCUCUGCUUUCACCGCUAAUUAGUCCCUGCUCGAUUUUGACGAAGAAGACAUACAAUAGACACAUGCUGAUGGAGGCCUUGGGCCCUUGUCUGGCUUGCUCAGGCUGCUAUAACAAAACACUGUAAACUGGAUGACUUAUAAACAACAGCAAUUUAAUUCUCACAGUUCUGGAGGCUGGAAGUCCAAGAUUGGAUUUGGUUUCUGGGAAGGAAGAGCUGAAGGACCCUGGGGAUGAUUGAACAUAGCCUCUCACCAGCGCGCUCAGGAAUUGUCCUGAGAGCAGCAGGAGGAGUGGUAAUCCUGCAAGAGAAGGUGGCUUUGUUGAGAGCCUUUAAAUUCAGCUUUAUUACUCGCCAGUCUCCUUCCUUGUGUUCUGGCCAUAUUUCUUAUCCAUUAGGCAGCCAGAGCACAUCUGCUGGUGGGUUCAACAAAAGGGGCUCCCUUUAAAGAAGAAGACUGAGAAGCUGGAAUGAAUCCAGAGGAAAG